rnacentral:rRNA from 1 species
UACGUAGGGGGCUAGCGUUAUCCGGAAUUAUUGGGCGUAAAGCGUCCGUAGAUGGUCGUUUCAAGUCUGCUGUCAAAGACCGGGGCUUAACCCCAGAAAGGCGGUGGAAACUGAACAGCUAGAGAGAGGUAGGGGUAGAGGGAAUUCCCAGUGUAGCGGUGAAAUGCGUAGAUAUUGGGAAGAACAUCAGUGGCGAAAGCGCCCUACUGGACCUUAUCUGACAUUGAGGGACGAAAGCUAGGGGAGCGAAUGGG